UACAGAGGUCUCAAGCGUUGUUCGGAUUCAUUGGGCGUAAAGGGUGCGUAGGCGGCGCGGUAAGUCGGGUGUGAAAUCUUGGAGCUUAACUCCGAAACUGCAUUCGAUACUGCCGUGCUUGAGGACUGGAGAGGAGACUGGAAUUUACGGUGUAGCGGUGAAAUGCGUAGAUAUCGUAAGGAAGACCAGUGGCGAAGGCGGGUCUCUGGACAGUUCCUGACACUGAGGCACGAAGGCCAGGGGGAGCAAAACGGGG
rnacentral:rRNA from 1 species